UGGUAUGAUCAACAGAGCGCAACCUCACUGGGACUUUGCAUGUAUAUGCAAGAAAGUCUCAAGGUUGACAUAAAGGAUCUCCCUAAGCAGAUUGACAUUUCAACAUAAGUAAGUAUCACUGGCUUGCAAUCAUAGAUCCAAGUGGUGAACCGGGUGUACAUUGAACCCACUCAGUGCCGACUUGAAGAUUCUGCUGGGCUUCUUGAACUGGAAACUAUGAGGGCUUGCUUCUCUUAAACACGUGAAGCUGGAGCUGGUGUCACAUCCAUGUGAAGAGGGAUGAUAUGGAUGGGAUGUUGGACUGAGUGUGUGGGCUUGGCAAUAGUGUAUUGAACGAGGCUCCAUGGCCGCCUGAUUGGAGGGGAUGGGUCAUUCCUGGUGGCGCGGAAGGAAUUGCAUGCUCUUGCAGCUGCUGCAUGGAGGACGGAGAUGCUGGGUGGAGAGGAGGGCUAGGCGAUGUUGGUGCCGAUGAGCACCCAUGCCCUGGCCUAGCUGACGACACAAGGUCGGUGAUGUUUUCUAUCUACAUCGAGCAACCUAGUUCUGCCAAAAGGAUAGGUCUGCGUCUUGAGUUGGUUCGCACAAGCACUCCACAGUUUCCACUCACAAGACUCCUUGUGCACAACAAGAUGUUUUACUUUUGCUAGGAACACCCAUGAAGGGGUGCACACCCAUCGAUGUGCCCUUGCUAGCUCACUGCCUCUAUCUAAUCUGCUGCUGCUCCAACCUGCUGGGGAGCUGAUGGCUGCCUCCUUGUCUCCGAA